rnacentral:lncRNA from 1 species
CCAAGGCCGCUCUUGACCGUGAGCACGGCUAGUAUACCAGUUUUAACACUCUGCAGAGGUUGUACAUCUUUAUCCAUGAGUCAUGAUUUACCCUUUCACCCGAGGCCCGUCGAUCUCUUAACCCACUACCAAGGAAGGUCGGUAGGGAUCACUAUGAAGUCUUUCAAAAGUUCGUCUAACAUGUUAGGGCCGCAAGGUUUCCUUUGCACGCAGAUAUAGAGCCCCCUUCCGAUGGCACAAUGACUCGCAGCCUAUACACAUACAGA